rnacentral:rRNA from 1 species
CCUACGGGUGGCAGCAGUGGGGGAUAUUGCACAAUGGGGGGAACCCUGAUGCAGCGACGCCGCGUGGGUGAAGAAGCGCCUCGGCGCGUAAAGCCCUGUCAGCAGGGAAGAAAAAGACGGUACCUGAAGAAGAAGCCCCGGCUAACUACGUGCCAGCAGCCGCGAUAAUAUGGAGGGGGCCAGCGUUAUCCGGAUUUACUGGGUGUAAAGGGGGCGCAGGCGGCGAUGCAAGCCAGGAGUGAAAGCGCGGGGCCCAACCCCGGGACUGCUCUUGGAACUGCGUGGCUGGAGUGCAGGUGGGGCAGGCGGAAUGCCUGGUGUAGCGGUGAAAUGCGUAGAUAUCAUGAAGAACACCGGUGGCGAAGGCAGCCUGCUGGACUAUGACUGACGUUGAGGCCCGAAAGCGUGGGGAGCAAACAGGAUUAGAUACCCCUGUAGUC